UCUCCUCUUUACAAAAGCCAUCUCUUUCGAGCUGAAAAUAUGGUACAUUGGUACUGGUAAAUGAUCCCUGAUGUUACAUGCUUGCCUGCUUACUUGUCAAAUUAGGUACAGGCAGCUGCCCCGAACCAGCCUGUCAAGGAGAAACGGUUGCAUUACAUAGGGGGUUGGGUCAGCCCCAUAUAUUCCGGUACUGUUCUCAACGGAUCAAUUGCUACAGAGUUACUUUUUGGUGUGUGUUUUCUCAUUGUAUCGGAGACACAUGCUUCCCAAGUGUAGUUGUCAAUGGUAGGAGUGGGGAACCUUACUUGCAUUGUAGAGAUCUCCAAUCUAUUUUAAUAAUAAAAGAAGAGCAUUUUCG